rnacentral:lncRNA from 1 species
AAGAAUUGAACGAUAGAUUGAGUUUAUUAAACAUGGGCAGGAGCAACGUACAUAAUCGAAAUACACAUAACACAAUGAUACAUCCAUUUCUCAACUUUUAAAACAAAAACACAAUAGAAAACAAGUUUUAAGAUUAAUAUUCACCAAAGUACAAAGAUGUUCAGAGCCAACAAUAAAACAAAUGCUCUGACUCUUAUCUUAUUAUAAGACUGCCCUUUCUUUAUCUACUAAUGAUAUUUUACACAAUGAAAGGGAAAUAAAACAAGCCCCUUCACUGAAACAGACUGAAAAUCAUCUGACUGAUAUGAGUAUUUCAAGUCUAAUCAGAAUACGCAUCUGAAGCGUACGCACUCAGUGGUGGACUGGCAGUGAAGGAAGUCGAGCUGUCGCUACCGCCGCCGCCUCCUUUGAUUUUAGCCAGUACUUCCCCUACUUUUGAGAUCGCGAAGGAUACAUAAUCAGAAUUCGCAUCUGAAGCGUACGCACUCAGUGGUGGACUGGCAGUGAAGGAAGUCGAGCUGUCGCAGGAAGUCGAGCUGUCGCUACCGCCGCCGCCUCCUUUGAUUUUAGCCAGUACUUCCCCUACUUUUGAGAUCGGGAAGGGUACAAUCUCGGAAAAGCUCUCAAAUAUUUGAGCUUUAACUUGACCCCUU